GGCCGGAAUAGCUCAGUUGGUAGAG
rnacentral:tRNA from 2 species